rnacentral:sRNA from 1 species
UCCUGAGUUAGAUUUAAAGCCUGCGAUGG